UUUCUGGUUCCUCGACAGGGGCUGCUUCGAGUUCAGCCUCCGCGACAGGGGCUGCAACCUCUUCAACAGGAGCCGCAACUGGUUCCUCAGCUGCUGGCUCCUCUGUUUCUAUGGCUGCAGGUUCUGCUGCAGCCACAGGUUCUUCAGCAGCAGGGGCUGCUUCCUCAGCGGGAGCAGGCUCUUCUACUGGUGCUGCUGCUGAUUCGACGACGGAUUCGCUUUCUACAACUGGGGUUGGUUCCUCUACUUUGGUUUCCUCUGGGGUUGUUUUUACCUCAACCUCAGCUGGAGCAGUCUCUACUGCUGCUACUGGUGCAGAUUCAACCUUCAGACAAAAUUUGAAACAAUUAGUUGGGAAUAUGUUACCGUCAUGUUAGUAUGUUUAUUUUAGUUCCUACAUUUACUAGGAAUCUUUAUAUUCGAUCGCCGAUUUAUAUGACAAGUAGAAAAUAUAGAGAACUUAAAUGAAGUGACAUAGUUAGUGAAGAUUUAGCUGAUCCUAACUUGCUUGGGGUUGACGUGUAGUAGUAAUUAUGUUGUUUUGAAUUCUUGAUAUCAAACUAUGGUCAUAAAAAAGCUCUGAUCACUGACCUUCUCAAGAUAUUUCAUUAUAAAACCUUUAUCCAAGAAUGAUCUAAUAAUAUUUUCAAGAUAUAAAAUGUAUUGAUCAACCAUUAGAUUUUAUUCACUUCAUCAGAUUGUGUAAAAUGUAAAUCUUGAAAAGGGCACUGAUCAGUUGAAGAACAGGUUAGCUAACUGAUCUUGAUCAGUUUUAAGUUUUCAUUUAGAAAGAAAGGAAGAAAAAAAUUGCAAAAUAACAUUACUAUAAAAGUACCUCAACGCUGGCCAUUGGAAAUUGAAGGAAUAAAGUUGAAACUAAGAAGAUGGGAAGAGAAGAAAAAUAAUGAAAUGGAGGGGGUCUUAGGAAGAAAAGGUGGCCAAAGUGUUUCUAAUUGUGAUUGGUGAUGAAAAAGGAUCAAAUGAGAGAGCAAUAUAUAGAGAAGUAAAAUCGACUGUAUUAAUUAAAAUAAUGGAAAGAAAAGAAUCUUGAGGGAUAUACAAAUUCACAUCUCACAUCACUGACAUAAAAGGGUGACCAAAAAUAUUAGGAUGUCUAGUUGUAAAUGUAUUUACUUUACUUUAUGCUUACAAAAAAAUUAAUAUUAAAAUCCAAUCAAGUCGAGGUCGGUUGUAUAAAUUCUCAUUGUAUGUUAUAUCCCAAAUGUAUUCUGCAUUUUAAAGAUGCAUUAUAAAUUAAUUAAUUUCAUGUUGAUUAUCGAUAUACCGUAAUUUACCUCUUUCAUUCAAAUUGAAAACGAUGAUAUUAAUAAGUUACAUAAAUAAUAAUUACGCUUCAAUCUUAAAUAAGUUGGAGUUGAUUUCGUCAUAAAUUGACAAAUUUUGCGCUGACCUCCAACUUAUCACAACUCUCAUCUUUUAUCCGAGCUUGAAACCGGCAAUAUAAGCAAGCUCACAUCCGCUAUUUGAGAUUUUCCAACACAACUUUUUUCUUUUUGCUAAUUGAUUUUCAAGAUGAGGAGCUUUUUCUUUGGUAAGAUUAUUAUUAAUUAUUUAUUAAAUCAUUUAUUAGUUUGUUUAAAGGCAUUUGUUUGAUUGGGAAAAGGCAAAGUCACAUGGUGGUGGAGGCCAUUUCCUAUAAACAGCUAUGAUAUCUUUUUUCUUGAGUGGUUUCUUCUGUGUUUUGUGCAGUAGGGCACGUAGGUGACUAAGACUAUAUAUCAUGCUUUCAUGUUCUAAUAAUUUUUAAAAAUAAUAUUUUUCUUUUUCUGUUCCAGCUUCUUCUUUUUUUAAUUACUAUUUUGUUAACUCUAGAUCUUCACAACAAAAUCUCUUGGUUUAAGGGAAUGAAUCUAAUUGCUAAUUCAUGCAUAUACUCAUACAAAAUGACUCAGCUUUAUUCUAAUUUUAAUAUAUGUAUUUAUUGGAUCCUGUAAACUAUUGAUACUAUAUUACUUUAUCAUACAAAUUACCACCAAGAUUUUGACAAAGUAGUGACAGAGUAAAUACAUCACUAAUUACUAAAUUAAACAUUUAUGAAAAGUAAAAUGAAAAGAUUAAGCUAACAGGUUGGCAGUUAAAAUGCAAAGACAUCAAAUUUUAAGGCAACCAUAGAGUGAAUAAGCUUUUAGUUUUAUACGUUAACACGAGAAUAAAAAAUAUUCAACUUGAUAAUAUUUACGCCCUCUAUUUCAUUUUAUGCCACAUUAUUUUUUUAUUAGUCCAUUAAAAAAAAUAUUUUUACAUUUAAGAUAAAUUUAACUUUAUAUUUUUUAUUUACCAUUAAAUGAGAAGCUUUUAUCGACACAUAAAUAUUAUAACAUGUUCAAAACACAAGUUUCAAAAUA
rnacentral:lncRNA from 1 species